UACGUAGGGUGCGAGCGUUAAUCGGAAUUACUGGGCGUAAAGCGUGCGCAGGCGGUUCGUUGUGUCGGUGGUGAAAGCCCUGGGCUCAACCUGGGAAUGGCAUUGGAUACUGGCGAUCUAGAGUGCGGUAGAGGGCAGUGGAAUUCCCGGUGUAGCAGUGAAAUGCGUAGAGAUCGGGAGGAACAUCUGUGGCGAAGGCGACUGCCUGGACCAGCACUGACACUGAGGCACGAAAGCGUGGGGAGCAAACAGG
rnacentral:rRNA from 1 species